rnacentral:lncRNA from 1 species
UGAUAGAGGGCAAGAAGAAGAGGCUGAACUGGAGGCUGUUCCAAGGGGAUGAAGUAUGAUCCAAUGAGGCACAGCAGAUAGAAGCUGGAGAAAAAACAUCAAAGAAAAUAAUCCCAGACCCCCUUUUCAGAUUAAAGGUGGGCAGAUCACUGCUCACUUGAGUGUUCGGUGAAGCAUGGGGUAUAUGACUAAGAAGUGCAUCUGCAGAAUCUCUCUGAAGUCUAUGGAAAAUGAGGGGGAAAACCAACCAUAAGAGAUUUUGUUAAUUUAUCACAGCAAAUGCUUGAAAGAUAGCUGUUAUAUAUGUUUGGAAGUCCUUAGGCAUGAAAGUAUGAACUCAGAUUCUUCCGCAGUGAGAAGAGCAGCUUGGAAUUUUAUACUCUUUUCUUCACAUUGUCAGAGAUCUCCCCCAAAGUGCUUCACUGAGAGUUUAAUUACCUGCUGAUGAAGAGGGGGCAGUAGCAUGUAGAGGAGUGACUACUCUGAGCAGCUGACAGCAUCUGACUGUCUGAAGUGGAACCCCAAUGGCCGGGCCAGGGAUGUGCAGGCCAGGCUUAGGCCUCCUUGUUGGACAUCCUGCUUGGGGAGGCCCUUCCUCAUACACAGGGAGCACCAGCUAAGCCAAACCAGAGGCCUCAUUCCAACCCUGCCAACAAGGCACUGCCAAGAGCAGAGCUUCAUUAGCAGGCGGCAAAGCGAGGACUGUGAGUGAGACUACCUCAGUGCAGAAAAAAGCAAGUGUCAGCAACAGCUCGGCCUUCUUGGAGAGGUUUCUUUGUGUUUCUUCAUCCUGCUGCUCUGAAGCAGACAGUGUCUGGUUCUCUUGGGUAGCUCUAUAUCCUGUGCACGCACUGGAAAACAUUGAGACACCAUUAGGUGGUGUUCCGGAUGUAAUUAAUAACACAGCCUCAGGAGCUCUUGGGCGUUACUGCCUUUCUCACUCUGCCCUUCCUGUGAUCCUAGCAGAUAAGUCAGAGCCACCAGCCAGCUGUGCAGUGGGAGGAACAGCUGGCCCAUGCCUGCACCUGUCCCAAUGCAAUGACAGUGAACAUCCUUCAGAGUCUUUUUUGCUCUCCUGGGACUCGAUCCAUCCAUUAUUUCUUGAGGCAGCACAUCUUGUGGCCAGAGUUGGCAUGCAUGCCCUAAUUGUUACUUAG